UUCCUUCCUCGAGAAGACAGAGAGAGGACGCACGCCACCUCCUCCCCACCUUCGCCAGAUACGACCGCCCAUUCAUCGCCGCCACCCAUCGCGUCGCCCGCCCACGACCUUCUCUCAUCUUCCACCCGCGACGGCGUCCCGUCCACCUCGAGAUGUACGGCGACGGCGUCCCGAUGGAGAACCCUGGCCGCAGCUGGUCGCCGGCGCUCCUCCGCUGCGCGCCCCAGGUGACCCCCACGGAUCCGCGGCGCCGAGGGCGGCGCACACGGUCCGCGACCUGGCGGAGGAGGGGAAGAAGCGGGCCGUGUUGCUCCUCGUCUUCGCCUUCGGCCUCGCCUUCCUCAUGUCCAUGACAAGCUCUUCAGUCUGGAUUAACUUCCCAUUCGCCAUAUCUUUGAUAGUUCUGUUUCGCUACCUAUCACUUGACUAUGAUUUCCGUAGAAAGAGCACAACAACCACAGAUCGUGAUGCCAGUCGCCCACUUGCCAAAACAAAAAAGUAUUGAAUUAAGCAAACCUUCACUUACCCAGAAGAAUGGAAAUUCCAGUUGGAGGAGCAAGGUGAACUCACCUCCAGUUGAAGCAGCAUUUGAACAGUUCACAAGGCAUCUUGUCACCGAGUGGGUAACAAAUCUUUGGUACUCCCGUAUAACACCUGAUAAGGACGGACCGGAGGAACUCAUCAGCAUAGUUAAUUCUGUCCUUGGAGAGAUUUCUAACUGGGGAAGAAGCAUUAACAUCAUCACUCUGUUAACCAGGGACCUGGUCUCAUAUGCAAUAAUUUGGAGCUUUAUCAUUCCUGUGAAGCUAAGAUUGGAAAAGAGAAGUUUGUUAGACUCCCGACGGAGCGUCGUGAUGCUGAACUGAAACUCGGCCUUGUAGCUCAAAGCAAGUUGCAUCCAGCUUUAUUUUCAGCCAGUGCUGAAUACAAGUUUUGCUCCUCUUGAUGAUUGGAAGUUAGCAUUGCUCCUGUUAGAGCAACAGUAUACCAAAGCAAGAUCCAACCGAGCUAAGGAUGCUCUCUCUUGCUUUCCCAACAACUUCAGAAGAGAUUUCUGGAUCAGGUAUCAGGUCUAGAGCCAAUGGAGAGAAGCAACAUCAUGAUGCUGCUAUAUCUUAGUGGUCUUUCUUUCACAAUGGUGAUCUGCUUCUUAUCUGUUCUAGGUGUCACUGUCAUAGCUUACUUGGCAUAACCUUCCUUCUUUUGAUGGUUGUCAACACACAUUUAAGUCACACAUACACCAUACAAGAUGCAGAGCCUUUGGUAUAUGCAGCCGCACUCCCUUGCCGCCACCUGCUACUUCAAGUCCGCCGACGGCCACGUUGGAAACUAGGGCUUCUCCAUAGCCCGCCUCAAUUCUACCUCGCCCUCCUUGCUGGUAUACAUGCAUCUCAUUCAGUCUGUUCGUUGUACAACUUGUAGUGUCCACAAUUCAGAAGUAGGAGUUCACAGAAAACUGCUUCUCUGAAUCACUCAUUGUUCAGUUUCGUUCUCUUGUGGUUAAUUCAAAGAUCCAUUGCCAAAAGUGUGAAUAUGAGUGCAAAUAUGCUUGUCUUUUGAACUCUGGAACUGUUGCCUAUACAUGCCUAUUAUUGCUGAAUAUGAUGGAAAUGUGGAUGUUCACUGUGGUACUAAUAUAAGACCUUUUAUAGAUCUCUACUUUAGAGAUCUAUAAAAGGUCUUAUAUUAGUUUAAAGAGGGAGUAUUUAUCAGGAAGCAGCUUAUAGGACUUCCAAUAAGCAAGAAGUUUCAUAUAAUUUUCCUGGAUGCAAUAGGAUGAACUUUCAUUUUAUUGGAAGGUGCUAUAGUAUAAAUUUCAAAGACCCACUUCAGUUGUUGCUGUUAUGGUUUUAUAAAUCUUAAACAGAACAGUCUUUCGGUGAAUACAUCUAUUGUAUUUUGGUGAAUAAAAUGCGUCAGACAGAUCCCCACUCUUCAGCAGAUCUUAUAUAACAUUCAAAUUGUCUAUUAGCUAGAUUAGUUUCUCACUGCACUUUGUUUCAUUUUUUUUAGUUUGGAUCGAGUGUGAAUGUAAGGAAGAUAUUGUUGUCACAUAGUAAUAAUCCAUCUAUGAGUUACUAGGAGGUAGCUCAUGCAUGUUGAUUGUGCUUCAAGGUACAGUAGUUUGUAGCAUACAAAAUUUGUGGUUUGUAUAGGUUGUGCAUCCUAGGAACAAAGUUUGAUUCGUAGGUAGCUGAAGAAGCGAACGACUUUUGUUCUUUGCAUUGCAGGUUUCCUAUAUUCCAAAAAUUAAUGUGUAUUUAGGCGUGCUAUGUGACGCGUUGAGAGAAUAUGAUGGGAGGAGGAGACACAACACUCCACUCCACUUCCUAUUAUUGCCAUCACGUUGUUGCCACACUUGGGCUGGUUCUAUUGCGCAUGCUUCUUGCUAUUUGGAAUGCAUCGUUCUUAUUAUUUUUAGGUUAGCUAUCAUUUGAAUUGAUAACAGGACAAGGUUAUCAACUCUUUCUUGGCUAGGAACAUAUUUUUGCAGGCCAGGGGGAAGCUUGAGAACUUGCUGCCCGAUCUCGCCAGGGCGAUGAGAUGGAGGCCUGCUCACUGCUGCUCCACUGUUCGCUACACUUUCAGGGCCUCAGGGAGCACCUCCUUACUGACGACCUCUUCCUCAACAAGCUCGUCGUGGAGUGCGUCGUUGGGUCAACUCCAAUGUCCUUUAUUUUGAGAAUUCAUCAUUCACCGCUCUGUAGACAGAUCGUUGCUGACCGUCAUUACCACCUAUAUAUACUCAAUGUAGUGUGAUUCUUAAGGCCGUUAGAGUCGUACAUACGUCAAUUAGUGUGCUUCUUACGCUGGUUUUUGACAGUAUCUACAAAGUGUAUGCUAUGAUCAAAACUGGCGUCCCCUUCCUUUUGAACCAGCUAUACAGUUGAUUGCUACUAAACCAAAUUUAAUCUACUUUUAGCUCUAA